GACGAACGCUGGCGGCGUGCUUAACACAUGCAAGUCGAACGGAAAGGCCCUGCUUUUGUGGGGUGCUCGUGUGGCGAACGGGUGAGUAACACGUGAGUAACCUGCCCUUGACUUUGGGAUAACUUCAGGAAACUGGGGCUAAUACCGGAUAUGAGCUCCUGCUGCAUGGUGGGGGUUGGAAAGUUUCGGCGGUUGGGGAUGGACUCGCGGCUUAUCGGCUUGUUGGUGGGGUAGUGGCUUACCAAGGCUUUGACGGGUAGCCGGCCUGAGAGGGUGACCGGCCACAUUGGGACUGAGAUACGGCCCAGACUCCUACGGGCGGCAGCAGUGGGGAAUAUUGCACAAUGGGCGGAAGCCUGAUGCAGCAACGCCGCGUGCGGGAUGACGGCCUUCGGGUUGUAAACCGCUUUCGCCUGUGACGAAGCGUGAGUGACGGUAAUGGGUAAAGAAGCACCGGCUAACUACGUG
rnacentral:rRNA from 1 species